rnacentral:rRNA from 1 species
GACGAACCGUGCGAACGUUAUUCGGAAUCACUGGGCUUAAAGCGCGUGUAGGCGGGACGGCACGUCGGUCGCUGAAAUCCCCCGGCUUAACCGGGGAACUGGCGUCGAUACGACCGUCCUGGAGGGGCGUAGGGGGACCUGGAACUUCCGGUGGAGCGGUGAAAUGCGUAGAUAUCGAUCGGAACACCCGUGGCGAAGGCGGCUUGCUGGCUCGCAACUGACGCUGAGGCGCGAAAGCGUGGGGAGCAAACAGG